rnacentral:siRNA from 1 species
UAAUGUCCUGCCAAACCCGUC